GAAUAUUGGACAAUGGGCGCAAGCCUGAUCCAGCCAUGCCGCGUGUGUGAAGAAGGCCUUCGGGUUGUAAAGCACUUUCAGCGAGGAGGAAGGGUGUUGUCUUAAUAGAACAGCAUUUUGACGUUCCUCACAGAAGAAGCCCCGGCUAACCCCGUGCCAGCAGCCGCGGUAAUACGGAGGGUGCAAGCGUUAAUCGGAAUUACUGGGCGUAAAGCGCGCGUAGGUGGCUUGAUAAGCGAGAUGUGAAAGCCCCGGGCUUAACCUGGGAACGGCAUUUCGAACUGUCAGGCUAGAGUGUGGUAGAGGGUAGUGGAAUUUCCUGUGUAGCGGUGAAAUGCGUAGAUAUAGGAAGGAACACCAGUGGCGAAGGCGGCUACCUGGACCAACACUGACACUGAGGUGCGAAAGCGUGGGGAGCAAACAGG
rnacentral:rRNA from 1 species